AUUGAACGCUGGCGGCAUGCCUUACACAUGCAAGUCGAAUGGUAACAGGUCUUCGGAUGCUGACGAGUGGCGAACGGGUGAGUAAUACAUCGGAACGUGCCUAGUAGUGGGGGAUAACUACUCGAAAGAGUGGCUAAUACCGCAUGAGAUCUACGGAUGAAAGCAGGGGAUCGCAAGACCUUGUGCUACUAGAGCGGCCGAUGGCAGAUUAGGUAGUUGGUGGGAUAAAAGCUUACCAAGCCGACGAUCUGUAGCUGGUCUGAGAGGACGAUCAGCCACACUGGGACUGAGAAACGGCCCAGACUCCUACGUGGGGCAGCAGUGGGGAAUUUUGGACAAUGGGCGCAAGCCUGAUCCAGCAAUGCCGCGUGCAGGAUGAAGGCCUUCGGGUUGUAAACUGCUUUUGUACGGAACGAAAAGCCCCGGGUUAAUACCCUGGGGUCAUGACGGUACCGUAAGAAUAAGCACCGGCUAACUACGUGCCAGCCGCCGCCGUAA
rnacentral:rRNA from 1 species